CAGGAGCUGCUGGGCUGGAGCGGCGGCGCCGCCAUGUCCGACAGCGAGAAGCUCAACCUGGACUCGAUCAUCGGGCGCCUGCUGGAAGUGCAGGGCUCGCGGCCUGGCAAGAAUGUACAGCUGACAGAGAACGAGAUCCGCGGUCUGUGCCUGAAAUCCCGGGAGAUUUUCCUGAGCCAGCCCAUUCUUCUGGAGCUGGAGGCACCCCUCAAGAUCUGCGGUGAGCCCCCGGCCCAGGUCCCCUUGCCUUCCUAAAAGUGGCACUGGACCCCACAGAGUUCCUGGAGCCCUCCUCCCUUGAGCCCAGUCCUGGCCCUGGGUUCAGGUCUAGACCUUGCAUCUAGCUUACCCGGUUCCCUGGAUCACAGGUGACAUACACGGCCAGUACUACGACCUUCUGCGACUAUUUGAGUAUGGCGGUUUCCCUCCCGAGAGCAACUACCUCUUUCUGGGGGACUAUGUGGACAGGGGCAAGCAGUCCUUGGAGACCAUCUGCCUGCUGCUGGCCUAUAAGAUCAAGUACCCCGAGAACUUCUUCCUGCUCCGUGGGAACCACGAGUGUGCCAGCAUCA
rnacentral:sRNA from 1 species